rnacentral:tRNA from 3 species
GGACCUUUAGCUCAGCUGGUUAGAGCAAUCGGCUCAUAACCGAUCGGUCCCGGGUUCGAGUCCCUGAAGGUCCACUA